rnacentral:rRNA from 1 species
UACGUAGGGGUCGAGCGUUGUCCGGAGUUACUGGGCGUAAAGCGUGUGCAGGCGGCUCAUUGCGCCCGGCGUGAAAGCCCCCGGCUCAACCGGGGAGAGUCGUCGGGGACGGGGUGGCUUGAGGGGUAUCAGGGGCUGGUGGAAUUCCCGGUGUAGUGGUGAAAUGCGUAGAUAUCGGGAGGAACACCCGUGGCGAAGGCGGCCAGCUGGGAUACACCUGACGCUGAGACACGAAGGCGUGGGGAGCGAACGGG